UGGGGAAUUUUGGACAAUGGGCGAAAGCCUGAUCCAGCAAUGCCGCGUGUGUGAAGAAGGCCUUCGGGUUGUAAAGCACUUUUGUCCGGAAAGAAAUCCUUGGCUCUAAUACAGUCGGGGGAUGACGGUACCGGAAGAAUAAGCACCGGCUAACUACGUGCCAGCAGCCGCGGUAAUACGUAGGGUGCAAGCGUUAAUCGGAAUUACUGGGCGUAAAGCGUGCGCAGGCGGUUUGCUAAGACCGAUGUGAAAUCCCCGGGCUCAACCUGGGAACUGCAUUUGGUGACUGGCAGGCUAGAGUAUGGCAGAGGGGGGUAGAAUUCCACGUGUAGCAGUGAAAUGCGUAGAGAUGUGGAGGAAUACCGAUGGCGAAGGCAGCCCCCUGGGCCAAUACUGACGCUCAUGCACGAAAGCGUGGGGGAGCAAACAGGAUUAGAUACCCCUGGUAGUCCACGCCCUAAACGAUGUCAACUAGUUGUUGGGGAUUCAUUUCCUUAGUAACGUAGCUAACGCGUGAAGUUGACCGCCUGGGGAGUACGGUCGCAAGAUUAAAACUCAAAGGAAUUGACGGGGUCAUAGCUGUUUCCU
rnacentral:rRNA from 1 species